GGCGACGAUGCGUAGGGGUUCUGAGAGGAAGGUCCCCCCACACUGGACUGAGACACGGACCAGACUCCUACGGGAGGCAGCAG
rnacentral:rRNA from 1 species